CUGAUGACCUCUGUCCACUAUAUUCUAGUGAUUUCAAUGGGAACAGAAAGUGAAAAUUCCUUGGAGAUUACUUCUCAGUGGUGUAAGCAAAAUCUGCAAGGAUAUCUGGAAUGGCAGCGUGUAUCUCAGUUGUGUGAGGUUGAAGAUCUUAGGCUGUUGAGACACUGUAAUUGCAGAUGAGCCACAAGCAUCUGGCAGGGUCCUGCAGUUGUGCAUGGCGACUCCACUCCCUCCCAGCAGGUUGAGGGAGGCUUCCCUACUUGCAUGGAAGUAAGCCAGCAGCUUCCCACACAGAUGAUGGCUGUUACAAAGGAGACUUUUCAACACUCAGAUUUCAAGGCUUGUGGAACAGAUGACAAAGCGACAGAUGGAAGAGGGAGGGAGAGGAGGAGUGUGAAUGGAUUUCCCAUUUUGAGGCCGGACUUCAUCCUAAUGGGAACAGAGGGGUGCAAGGAGAGCCACUGUGACCCUUAGGUCACAUGGUUAGGAGCAAAGUCUUGAGGGGAAACCUCCAGCUCCACCCAAUUUCCAGAGUGGUUUUGCUUGGAAGAGCACUGCACAGACUGGUGUAGCUGUGAUGUCUCUGAAGGAAAAAGUCUCCAGGGGCCUUGUGCAAUGUGUGGCAGAAAAGGAAUCCCAACCUAGCAGGCAAAUCCUAGGCAAGGCCAUAGAGCUGUGGUCUCUGCCAUGGGGCACUGCCAUUGGGCUCCCAGAAGAUGGACGCUAAGCUGAGAA